rnacentral:lncRNA from 13 species
CAGCUAUCCACAUGUGUGAUCGUACAUAGGGGUUCAACAAACUCAGUAGUCAGCUGAAGAGCGUAUGUGUGGUGGACGAGGUCUGAAAUGGGAAUGUUAGCUGGCAAGACAAAGGAGAAAGCAGAUUACACAUCCUACUCAAGUGACAUGGAAAGACCACAGUCAGUGUGCAUUUCUUUUGACUCUGAUAGGCCUUAUACAUGCCUCACAAACUGUGACUCUCGGAGCUCCUGGAACAUCCCCAAAGUGGGGUCAUGGCACUUUGCCACAGUGCAGUCCUCUGAUUUUAUGGUGCAUAUCGUAGUUCAUAAUACAUACAGAAAAUGGUGUUGUUUUAGAAAGUGGUAUUGCAAAAGCACGUAAUAAAAGUCCAUUUAAGUAAUUUGGAGGGGAAAAAAAUCGUUUUUGAAAUGAAUCAGGGGAUAGCAUACAAAGAGGACCAUAAACGUGUGUUUCAGUGGAGUCCCACAAGGCUGAGAAAGGCCCAAAGCACUGAAAGUACAGAAGCAAGGGAGGAAAAAGCCUCAAGUACAGACUGUGAAGGAAGUCACACAGCUCUACUGUGCACUUCAGCAGGGGAGAGGUAUGCUGUGGCUGCAGGGAGUUCAUGCUCUUCCAGCAAGCCAAGCUGGGGUCACCUUGAUUCCACCUCCAUCUCAGGACAAAAAGGGAGGUGCAUUAAGAUGAAAAUAUUAUUUUGUGGAAGUUUCAGUGUGUUGUCCUGGACUCAGUGGAAGAGACAAAAGUCCGGGAGAAGGGCUGCCUGCCUUUUUUAUCUAGCCUGCCAAGGGGCACAGACAGGAGAAUGUAGAUGGAGCUUCUCCUCCCACUUUCAGGACAGAAAAUCAAAGCAGAUCUAGAUGGAGAAGCAGAAGAAG